rnacentral:rRNA from 1 species
AUGGUGAAGGACACCGCGUACUACGACACCUUGGGGGUCAGCACUGACGCCGCCGCCGCCGAGAUCAAGAAGGCGUAUUACCUCAAGGCCAAGAUGGUUCACCCGGACAAGAAUCCCGGGAACCCCGAUGCCGCGCGAAAGUUUCAGGAGUUAGGUGAGGCCUAUCAAGUCCUAAGUGAUCCUGCGAAAAGGGAGUCUUAUGAUAAGCGUGGAAAAGAAGGUUUAUCCCAGGAUAAUAUGAUUGAUCCAACUACUGUCUUUGGGAUGCUUUUUGGGAGUGACUACUUUCAAGAUUAUGUUGGCCAGCUUGCAUUGGCAUCCGUGGCUUCCGUGGAGAGUGAGGAAGAUUCGGGUAGUCCAGAGGCAAGGGCAAGGAUUCAAGAGAAAAUAAAGUUGUUGCAAACGGAAAGAGAGCAAAAACUUAUUCUGAGCCUUAAGAAUCGAAUUCAACCAUACGUCGAUGGACAGCAAAAGGAAUUUGGCGACUGGGCAAGUGCAGAAGCUGAACGCUUGUCUCAAGCCGCUUUUGGUGAGGCUAUGCUUCACACCAUUGGCUACAUAUAUGUUCGACAAGCAGCAAGAGAACUUGGAAAAAGCAAAAUGUAUAUGGGCGUGCCAUUCAUUGCUGAGUGGGUAAGGGACAAGGGCCACCAUGUAAAGUCACAGGUUAAUGCAGCUUCAGGUGCAAUUGCUCUGAUACAAUUACAAGAGGGGAUGAAAAAGAUUGAGGAUGGUGACAACAAGGAAGAGCAGAUACUGAAGAGUAUUGAGGAGAAAAAGGAUGCCAUGCUUAAUUCUUUGUGGAAAAUUAAUGUGGUUGACAUUGAGUCAACAUUAUGGCGUGUCUGUCGAGCAUUUUUGAGAGAGAAUGCUGUCUCCAAAGAUGUUCUCACGUUGCGAGCAAAAGGACUGAAAAAGCUGGGGACAAUAUUCCAAGGCGCGAAAUCACCCUACCAUCGCGAGAACAGCCUGCGUGUUGAACGUCGCACGGCGGAGGAGACGCCGUCGAACUGA